GACGAACGCUGGCGGCGUGCCUAAUACAUGCAAGUUGGGCGCUGAAGGUUGGUACUUGUACCAACUGGAUGAGCAGCGAACGGAUGAGUAACGCGUGGGGAAUCUGCCUUUGAGCGGGGGACAACAUUUGGAAACGAAUGCUAAUACCGCAUAAAAACUUUAAACACAAGUUUUAAGUUUGAAAGAUGCAAUUGCAUCACUCAAAGAUGAUCCCGCGUUGUAUUAGCUAGUUGGUGAGGUAAAGGCUCACCAAGGCGAUGAUACAUAGCCGACCUGAGAGGGUGAUCGGCCACAUUGGGACUGAGACACGGCCCAAACUCCUACGGGAGGCAGCAGUAGGGAAUCUUCGGCAAUGGACGAAAGUCUGACCGAGCAACGCCGCGUGAGUGAAGAAGGUUUUCGGAUCGUAAAAACUCUGUUGGUA
rnacentral:rRNA from 1 species